UACGUAGGCAGCAAGCGUUGUUCGGAAUUACUGGGCGUAAAGAGUGUGUAGGCGGUGCUCCAAGUCUGGUGUGAAAUCUCCCGGCUCAACUGGGAGGGUGCGCCGGAUACUGAGGGGCUAGAGUGUGGGAGAGGAAAGUGGAAUUCCUGGUGUAGCGGUGAAAUGCGUAGAUAUCAGGAGGAACACCGGUGGUGUAAACGGCUUUCUGGACCAUAACUGACGCUGAGGCACGAAAGCGUGGGUAGCAAACAGG
rnacentral:rRNA from 1 species